CGGAAGGCAGCAGUGAGGAAUAUUGGUCAAUGGACGAGAGUCUGAACCAGCCAAGUAGCGUGCAGGAUGACAGCCCUAUGGGUUGUAAACUGCUUUUGUACGGGAAUAAAGUGACCUACAUGUAGGUUUUUGCAUGUACCGUAAGAAUAAGGACCGGCUAAUUCCGUGCCAGCAGCCGCGGUAAUACGGAAGGUCCGGGCGUUAUCCGGAUUUAUUGGGUUUAAAGGGAGCGUAGGCCGUGCUUUAAGCGUGUUGUGAAAUGUAGGCGCCCAACGUCUGCACUGCAGCGCGAACUGGAGCACUUGAGUACGCAGGAAGUAGGCGGAAUUCGUCGUGUAGCGGUGAAAUGCUUAGAUAUGACGAAGAACUCCGAUUGGGAAGCCAGCUUACUGUAGCGCCACUGACGCUGAUGCUCGAAAGCGUGGGUAUCGAACAGGAUUAGAUACCCUGGUA
rnacentral:rRNA from 1 species